rnacentral:rRNA from 1 species
UAUCUCUGUAGAGUCUGCAUAUCAAUAAGCGGAGGAAAAGAAACUAACAUAGGAUUCCCUCAGUAACGGCGAGUGAAGCGGGAAGAGCUCAAAUUUGAAAUCUUCAAGGCUCUACCUUGACGAAUUGUAGUUUAAAGAAGUGUUUUCUGUUAGAGUUUGAGUAGCAAAAGUUCCUUGGAAUAGGGACAUCAUAGAGGGUGAGAAUCCCGUAUUUGACCUAUUAUUUCCUAGCUUUGUGAUACACUUUCAAGGAGUCGGAUUGUUUGGGAAUGCAGUCCAAAAUGGGUGGUAAAUUUCAUCUAAAGCUAAAUAUUGGCGAGAGACCGAUAGCGAACAAGUACCGUGAGGGAAAGAUGAAAAGAACUUUGAAAAGAGAGUUAAACAGUACGUGAAAUUGUCAAAAGGGAAGCGUUUGACACCAGUGUUGUUUUCUCGAAAAUCAAUUAAGAAUGGCAUGAUUUUGUGUUGUAUUGACCUUUAUCAGCUUUCUGCACUCUUUUCUUAGUCUUUUUUAAUGCACUUUUCGGUUAACAAGUCAACAUCAAUUUCUUUUGUUGUAAAAGGAGUCAUUCGGAAGGUGGCUUUCUUUUCGGAGAAAGUGUUUAUAGCCUUGGCCUCUGCAAUCGGAGAGAUUGAGGUCUGCAGCGUAGAUCCUUCUGGAUUAGAUACAUUUGUGCUAAGUUAUAACCGUUUCAUAGACAACUUGUUGACUAUAUCGAUCAUGUAGCUUACUCGCUUAUGCUAUUUUACCUACGCUUAGGAUGUUGAUAGUCACAGCGUGUAC